UGCAGAAGAAAAAAAUGAUGGUGCUGAAAAAGAAGUGGUGAAAAUAGCAGAGUCGUCUAAUGGAAGAAACUCGAGUCCAGAGACAACCUGAACGCUGACAUUGCCGCCGUGAAGCCUACCCACGUGUUCAAUGCCGCCAGAGUCACCGGUCGUCCGAAUGUUGACUGAUAUGUGCCGCACAAGGUGGUCAAACGUUGAAAGUAUGGUUAAAAAGCUGAGAUAUGAAUCCUGUGAUCAAUAUUGAAGUUCUAUAUACUGAUAUACAUGUUCAUUGGAAAUAUCUGCUGGUACAAAUUAUAUCACAAGACGAUGCUUCAACGGCCGCUGGGGACGUGAAUGGUGAGGAAGGUGGCCGCACAUCAAGUCAUAAACUUAGGCAGAUGCUGUCAGAGAUCCUUGUAGACAACAUUAAUCUAUGACAGCAGAUGAAGUCUGUUGAAUACACAAUUGCAAGAACAACUUGGAGGACUGAACUCAUUUGCUCGCCCCUAAUUUGAACUUUUGUUGCCAGUUACCGUCUUCACCAUAUAUUGUACUUUUUGAGAAUCCACUGAAAGUAGAUGUUUCUUAUGGCAUUUGAUGUAGAAUUAUAUUACAUACCAUUUCUAUUGUUUAGUGCAUAUGAAUUUGGGGCUGAAUUGACGAAUAUGUGUUUGUUUUUGCUUGCUUAAAUAUGCACUCCUCAUGUAUGAGAAAAAUUACAAGUAUUUCUCACUCCUUGGGCGAUUUGGAUUUCGCUUUGUCAAAGAAAAUAUAAGGGAUGCUUGGGUGCGGGGCAGACAUCGCGUUCUAGCAAUGGAUGGUUCGGUUCUAUAUUGGAUGCGAUGGAAGUUGUUUUGAAGGCAUUUGCACCAAGGAGGUACUAUGAAAUCGACCUCCGUUAACGGCGUGAAGAUGUAUACAGCUGCAGGAUAACAUCGCUCGCUGGCCACUUGGCUACCGCCGAAGAAGCUUAGAGCUUUUCGCAAAGACAAAAGUAUGGAUUUUGCUUAUUGUUUUUAAUUUCGUUAAUAAACUUGAAUGUGAAUUUGAUUUGUUAGAUGUGGUACUUUUUUUUUCAUUAGCUAUACAAGAACUGUUGUUUUCUUUA